CGCUUUUUCUUUCACCGGAGCUUGCUCCACCGAAAGAAAAAGAGUGGCGAAUCGGGUGAGUAACACGUGGGUAACCUGCCCAUCAGAAGGGGAUAACACUUGGAAACAGGUGCUAAUACCGUAUAACACUAUUUUCCGCAUGGAAGAAAGUUGAAAGGCGCUUUUGCGUCACUGAUGGAUGGACCCGCGGUGCAUUAGCUAGUUGGUGAGGUAACGGCUCACCAAGGCAACGAUGCAUAGCCGACCUGAGAGGGUGAUCGGCCACACUGGGACUGAGACACGGCCCAGACUCCUACGGGAGGCAGCAGUAGGGAAUCUUCGGCAAUGGACGAAAGUCUGACCGAGCAACGCCGCGUGAGUGAAGAAGGUUUUCGGAUCGUAAAACUCUGUUGUUAGAGAAGAACAAGGAUGAGAGUAAAACGUUCAUCCCUUGACGGUAUCUAACCAGAAAGCCACGGCUAACUACGUGCCAAGCAGCCGCGGUAAUACGUAGGUGGCAAGCGUUGUCCGGAUUUAUUG
rnacentral:rRNA from 1 species